rnacentral:tRNA from 1 species
GGCUCGAUAGUUUAAUUUAAGACACUAGAUUGCAAAUCUGGAGAUGUAGAUGAUAUACUUGAGCUU